rnacentral:rRNA from 1 species
CGGAGGGUGCAAGCGUUGUUCGGAAUCAUUGGGCGUAAAGCGCACGUAGGCGGGUUUGUAAGUUGAUUGUGAAAUCCCAGGGCCCAACCUUGGAAUUGCAGUCAAAACUGCAGAUCUUGAAUACUUGAGAGGGUGGGAGAAUUCCUGGUGGAGAAGUGAAAUUCGUAGAGAUCAGGAGGAAUACCGGAGGCGAAGGCGCCUGCCUGGCAAGAUAUUGACGCUGAGGUGCGAAAGCGUGGGUAGCAAACAGGAUUAGAUACCCUGGUAGUCCACGCCGUAAACGAUGGAUACUAGGUGUUUGACGGAUUAACCCGUUGAGUACCGCAGUUCACACAUUAAGUAUCCCGCCUGGGGAGUACGGUCGCAAGGCUA